AGCGAACGCCGGCGGCAGGCCUAACACAUGCAAGUCGAACGAACUCUUCGGAGUUAGUGGCGGACGGGUGAGUAACACGUGGGAACGUGCCUUUAGGUUCGGAAUAACUCAGGGAAACUUGUGCUAAUACCGAAUGUGCCCUUCGGGGGAAAGAUUUAUCGCCUUUAGAGCGGCCCGCGUCUGAUUGGCUAGUUGGUGAGGUAAAGGCUCACCAAGGCGACGAUCAGUAGCUGGUCUGAGAGGAUGAUCAGCCACAUUGGGACUGAGACACGGCCCAAACUCCUACGGGAGGCAGCAGUGGGGAAUCUUGCGCAAUGGGCGAAAGCCUGACGCAGCCAUGCCGCGUGAAUGAUGAAGGUCUUAGGAUUGUAAAAUUCUUUCACCGGGGACGAUAAUGACGGUACCCGGAGAAGAAGCCCCGGCUAACUUCGUG
rnacentral:rRNA from 1 species